rnacentral:rRNA from 1 species
GUUAAUUCUGGAAAGUUUUAUCUCCAAAAGCUCCGGCGCCUAAGGAUAGGACGGCGGUGGAUUAGGUUGUUGGCGGGGUAACGGCCCACCAAGCCGAAGAUCCAUAGGGGCCUUGAGAGAGGGAGCCCCGAGAGGGACACUGAGAAACGGGUCCCAGCCCUACGGGGUGCAGCAGGCGCGGAACCUCUACAAUGCACGCAAGUGUGAUAGGGGGACCCCAAGUGCUCAUGUUUUACAUGGGCUUUUGCUAAGAGUAAAUAUCUUGGCGAAUAAGUGGUGGGUAAGACUGGUGCCAGCCGCCGCGGUAACACCAGCGCCACAAGUGGCGAUCAGCAUUAUUGGGCCUAAAGCGUCCGUAGCAGGUUGAGUAAAUCUCUUGUGAAAUCGUUGUGCUUAACAUAACGACGGGCAGGAGAGACUGCUCAACUUGGGACCGGGAGGGGUCGAGGGUAUUCCGGGGGGAGUGGUAAAAUGCAGUAAUCCUCGGAGGACCACCUGUGGCGAAGGCGCUCGACCAGAACGGAUCCGACUGUGAGGGACGAAAGCCAGGGGAGCGAAACGGAUUAGAUACCCGCGUAGUCCUGGCCGUAAACGCUGUGAGCUAGGUGUUGCGCAAACUCCGAGUUUGCGCAGUAUCGUAGAGAAGUCGUUAAGCUCACC